ensembl:snRNA U6 U6 spliceosomal RNA
GUGCUGGGAUUACAGGCGCGAGCCACCACAUAUAUUAAAAUUGGAAUGUUACAGAGAAGAUUAGCAUGGCCCCCAUGCAAGGAUGGCAGGCAAAUUUGUGAAGUGUUCUGUAUUUUU